rnacentral:lncRNA from 1 species
CUUGUGUGUGUUCUUGUGUUACAUAUGGUAUGGGGAGAGAGACACUUGUCACUUUUCUAUUUGCAGGGUAUCUGAUCGUGCUCGCAUGCUAUAUCUCUUCUAUUUAAACAUGCUUCACACAAAAUAGGGAGAAAAUAUUUUUAUUCAGUACUGACAUUGAGAGAAGAUUCAAACCCCAGAAGCUGUCACAGAGUUGUGUUUGGAACUGAUGUGUCCUGAAUGUUCAGUGUAAUUCCCUCUGGUUAAGGGACUGCUUGAGCUGAUGAGAGCAUUUAUCUGCAAGAGAGGGCAGCCAGCUUUCUGUGUCUUUUACCACAAAAAAAGGGUGUAUAAAUGCUACUCAGACAGACAGUGCUGCUUAAUAUAGCACAAGUUCCUGAGAGAAAGAAGGCUUUCUUUGCUCACAGUGGAUUACGAAACGAAGAG